rfam:Trichinella britovi scaffold195s, whole genome shotgun sequence.
AAAUUGGUGUUUUUAAACACCAUCAGUAACACAAAUAAAAUGAAC